UACAGAGGUCCCAAGCGUUGUUCGGAUUCACUGGGCGUAAAGGGUGCGUAGGUGGUUGGGUAAGUCUGAUGUGAAAUCUCUGAGCUCAACUCAGAAACUGCAUUGGAUACUAUCCGGCUAGAGAACCGGAGGGGGGACUGGAAUACUUGGUGUAGCAGUGAAAUGCGUAGAUAUCAAGUGGAACACCAGUGGCGAAGGCGAGUCCCUGGACGAUUUCUGACACUGAGGCACGAAAGCUAGGGGAGCAAACAGG
rnacentral:rRNA from 1 species